rnacentral:rRNA from 1 species
UGGGCGUAAAGCGUGCGCAGGCGGUUUUGUAAGUCAGAUGUGAAAUCCCCGAGCUUAACUUGGGAACUGCGUUUGAAACUACAAGACUAGAGUGUGUCAGAGGGGGUAGAAUUCCACGUGUAGCAGUGAAAUGCGUAGAGAUGUGGAGGAAUACCAAUGGCGAAGGCAGCCCCCUGGGAUAACACUGACGCUCAUGCACGAAUGCGUGGGGAGCGAACAGGAUUAGAUGCCCUGGUAGUCCACGCCCUAAACGAUGUCAACUAGUUGUUGGUGGAGUAAGAUCCAUGAGUAACGUAGCUAACGCGUGAAGUUGACCGCCUGGGGAGUACGGUCGCAAGAUUAAAACUCAAAGGAAUUGACGGGGGCCCGCACAAGCGGUGGAUUAUGUGGAUUAAUUCGAUGCAACGCGAAAAACCUUACCUGGCCUUGACAUGUACCGAAUUUAGCAGAGAUGCUUUAGUGCUCGUAAGAGAACGGUAACACAGGUGCUGCAUGGCU